rnacentral:rRNA from 1 species
UCCGUAGGUGAACCUGCGGAAGGAUCAUUACCUAGAGUUUGUAGACUUCGGUCUGCUACCUCUUACCCAUGUCAUUUGAGUACCUUCGUUUCCUCGGCGGGUCCGCCCGCCGAUUGGACAACAUUCAAACCCUUUGCAGUUGCAAUCAGCGUCUGAAAAAACAUAAUAGUUACAACUUUCAACAACGGAUCUCUUGGUUCUGGCAUCGAUGAAGAACGCAGCGAAAUGCGAUAAGUAGUGUGAAUUGCAGAAUUCAGUGAAUCAUCGAAUCUUUGAACGCACAUUGCGCCCCUUGGUAUUCCAUGGGGCAUGCCUGUUCGAGCGUCAUUUGUACCUUCAAGCUCUGCUUGGUGUUGGGUGUUUGUCUCGCCUCUGCGUGUAGACUCGCCUUAAAACAAUUGGCAGCCGGCGUAUUGAUUUCGGAGCGCAGUACAUCUCGCGCUUUGCACUCAUAACGACGACGUCCAAAAGUACAUUUUUACACUCUUGACCUCGGAUCAGGUAGGGAUACCCGCUGAACUUAAGCAUAUCAAUAAGCGGAGGA